UGGGGAAUUUUGGACAAUGGGGGCAACCCUGAUCCAGCAAUGCCGCGUGUGUGAAGAAGGCCUUCGGGUUGUAAAGCACUUUUGUCCGGAAAGAAAACUUCGGGGCUAAUACCCCUGGAGGAUGACGGUACCGGAAGAAUAAGCACCGGCUAACUACGUGCCAGCAGCCGCGGUAAUACGUAGGGUGCGAGCGUUAAUCGGAAUUACUGGGCGUAAAGCGUGCGCAGGCGGUGCUGUAAGACCGAUGUGAAAUCCCCGGGCUUAACCUGGGAACUGCAUUGGUGACUGCAGCGCUGGAGUAUGGCAGAGGGGGGUGGAAUUCCACGUGUAACAGUGAAAUGCGUAGAGAUGUGGAGGAACACCGAUGGCGAAGGCAGCCCCCUGGGCCAAUACUGACGCUCAUGCACGAAAGCGUGGGGAGCAAACAGG
rnacentral:rRNA from 1 species